GUUAGCGGCGCCCAACCUGACGAGCGCAGCUGGGCCGGCAGAAAGCACACGUGAAAAAAGGCACUGUGUUGUUGUUUGGGUAGUAAAAUGACGGGUGCUACACACCAAAGAUGUCCACACAUCAUUCAGGUGGGUCCCAUUUGGUCCUGGGCCUUCAAAAUAUCCAAGGAAAGACACUCUGUCAGAAUCUGUGGCUCUGUGAUGCUUGAGGACCUGCACAGCUUCACUGGAGUGGAUCAGACGCACAGCCACCUGUGCCUCUCCAAC